CUGAUCUCCACCUUGCUGUGGUCUCUGAUUUUUUUUGCUCGCAACUGUUGUCUCCUGCUCCUGCUUUCUGUGGUUUGCAUGAGUACACAGUGAUGGGGAUGUGGUGCCUCUGUGCUUUCCCAGGCAGGAGUGUUGCGCUGAGGCCAGCGGCAAGGAAACACGCAAGUGAAGAUGAGGACAUUUUUCUCAGCAUCCAGAAGUGAAGCGAGAUCCCUGGGAGAGAGGCGAGCUCUUUGCAAGGAAGCAUGAGUAAAGCCAAGACAGCAUCACCUCCCACCCGCUGCUGCCAGCGAUGCCGCAGGCUGGCUGCAGGGACCUAACGCAGGCGGCUGUCGGUGGGGAGAAGGUUUUCAGAGCCUGGAAAGCCGCGUGUGGAUGUGGCAAGGCAGGCUGUAGCUUGGCGCUGGGGCUGCCGCGUGCGGGCCACGCUGGAUGCACAGACUUUGUCAGCCAGACCUGAGAUAACGGGGCUCACGCUCACUGCCUGCUUUCACCAUGGCUGUUCGUAGCAUCGUGGUAAUGAAAAAUUGAUCAAAGGC